rnacentral:rRNA from 1 species
AAAUUGAAGAGUUUGAUCAUGGCUCAGAUUGAACGCUGGCGGCAGGCCUAACACAUGCAAGUCGAGCGGUAGCACAGAGAGCUUGCUCUCGGGUGACGAGCGGCGGACGGGUGAGUAAUGUCUGGGAAACUGCCUGAUGGAGGGGGAUAACUACUGGAAACGGUAGCUAAUACCGCAUAACGUCGCAAGACCAAAGUGGGGGACCUUCGGGCCUCAUGCCAUCAGAUGUGCCCAGAUGGGAUUAGCUAGUAGGUGGGGUAACGGCUCACCUAGGCGACGAUCCCUAGCUGGUCUGAGAGGAUGACCAGCCACACUGGAACUGAGACACGGUCCAGACUCCUACGGGAGGCAGCAGUGGGGAAUAUUGCACAAUGGGCGCAAGCCUGAUGCAGCCAUGCCGCGUGUGUGAAGAAGGCCUUCGGGUUGUAAAGCACUUUCAGCGGGGAGGAAGGCGUUAAGGUUAAUAACCUUGGCGAUUGACGUUACCCGCAGAAGAAGCACCGGCUAACUCCGUGCCAGCAGCCGCGGUAAUACGGAGGGUGCAAGCGUUAAUCGGAAUUACUGGGCGUAAAGCGCACGCAGGCGGUCUGUCAAGUCGGAUGUGAAAUCCCCGGGCUCAACCUGGGAACUGCAUUCGAAACUGGCAGGCUAGAGUCUUGUAGAGGGGGGUAGAAUUCCAGGUGUAGCGGUGAAAUGCGUAGAGAUCUGGAGGAAUACCGGUGGCGAAGGCGGCCCCCUGGACAAAGACUGACGCUCAGGUGCGAAAGCGUGGGGAGCAAACAGGAUUAGAUACCCUGGUAGUCCACGCCGUAAACGAUGUCGAUUUGGAGGUUGUGCCCUUGAGGCGUGGCUUCCGGAGCUAACGCGUUAAAUCGACCGCACGGGGAGUACGGCCGCAAGGUUAAAACUCAAAUGAAUUGACGGGGCCCGCACAAGCGGUGGAGCAUGGUUUAAUUCGAUGCAACGCGAAGAACCUUACCUGGUCUUGACAUCCACAGAACUUAGCAGAGAUGCUUUGGUGCCUUCGGGAACUGUGAGACAGGUGCUGCAUGGCUGUCGUCAGCUCGUGUUGUGAAAUGUUGGGUUAAGUCCCGCAACGAGCGCAACCCUUAUCCUUUGUUGCCAGCGGUUCGGCCGGGAACUCAAAGGAGACUGCCAGUGAUAAACUGGAGGAAGGUGGGGAUGACGUCAAGUCAUCAUGGCCCUUACGACCAGGGCUACACACGUGCUACAAUGGCAUAUACAAAGAGAAGCGACCUCGCGAGAGCAAGCGGACCUCAUAAAGUAUGUCGUAGUCCGGAUUGGAGUCUGCAACUCGACUCCAUGAAGUCGGAAUCGCUAGUAAUCGUAGAUCAGAAUGCUACGGUGAAUACGUUCCCGGGCCUUGUACACACCGCCCGUCACACCAUGGGAGUGGGUUGCAAAAGAAGUAGGUAGCUUAACCUUCGGGAGGGCGCUUACCACUUUGUGAUUCAUGACUGGGGUGAAGUCGUAACAAGGUAACCGUAGGGGAACCUGCGGUUGGAUCACCUCCUUACCUUAAAGAA